CGCUGCUGGGAGAAAGGAGAGGGCCCUGCCAGCGCUCCAAGAGCAGCCAAGCUGGAUGUGUUCUCCCCCUCUUGAUUCUAUGCAGCAUGUGUCAUAGAUAUUUCUAUACCUGAUUUACUCUCUCCUGAUAGAAGGCAACGCUCAGGGGACAGCAGCUAAGGAAGCAGCUUCCUUCUUUUCCUGUGACUGGAUUCUCAACGCCUCCUAAAUAUACACAAUUUGGACCUGUCCAUCACAUGCAUAUUUAACCUAAGCUCAUCCCCACUUGAGAUGGGUCUUCACUGAUUGGACCUACAGACACCAGAGACAUACUAGUUAGUGGACCUUCAACAGAAAAUGGCUGUAUAUGAAGAGGUAGUUCUUUUCUACAACAUUUCUUUUUAAUAUUUUGUUUAUUUAUUUGAGAAAGAGAGAGA
rnacentral:lncRNA from 1 species